UCAAGCGCUGUGCAUCGAUCUAAGUAAAGUCGGACCUCUUAAAGUGGACCAAGAGUUGCUUGUGAAAAUAGUCUCUGAGACGACAGCUGACGUAACUGCUCUGCAGUGGAUGGAGAAGGAGGAAACGAGUGGGAAAGAGAAGCCGUAUUUGUACACUCAGUGUCAGUCUAGAUUCUGCCCAUCCCUAUUUCCCUGUCAGGACACACCGGGAGUCAAGUUCCCAUACACUGCCAAUGUCACUCUGGAGAAAGGGCUGGCAGUGGUGAUGUCGGCCAUCAUCGACGGAGAAGGAACUGCGACUGGAGAAAACAAAAUGUGCUACAAGUUCUCCC